rnacentral:rRNA from 1 species
CAGGCGCNNAAUUACCCAAUCCGGACACCGGGAGGUAGUGACAAGAAAUAGCAAUANNNNNNCCGAAGGGUUUUCUAAUUGGAAUGAGAACAAGGUAAACAGCUUAUCGAGGAGCCAGCAGAGGGCAAGUCUGGUGCCAGCAGCCGCGGUAAUUCCAGCUCUGUAAGCGUAUACCCAAGUUGUUGCAGUUAAAACGCUCGUAGUCGGAAGUUGGCGGGCGAGACGGGGCGUCCUCGCGGAUGGACCCGGGUCGGCCGCCUUUGUGGAGGGGGGCGCUGGUCCGCUUGGGUGCGGGCUGGUUGCCGCUGCCACCGUUUACUGUGAAAAAAUUAGAGUGUUCAAAGCGGGCGUUUGCCAUGAAUACCUUAGCAUGGAAUAAUAGAAUAGGACCUGUGUUCCUGUUUUGUUGGUUUGUGAGGACCGGGUAAUGAUUAAGAGGGACGGUUGGGGGCAUUUGUAUUCCGGCGUCAGAGGUGNNUUCCUUGGAU